AACUCGAUAGCACUGUUGGAAUAUUGCACGAGCCCAGGCCCUUUAAGCACUUAGCACGGUGCCUGGCAAGUGCUAAAUACCCAAGAAGUGUUUGCUCCUAUUAAUACACCUGCAUUUAUCUUAACGUAAAGAAGUCUACCACACGGUGCUGGAGGGCCGGGGAAGGACCUGAGGAGGAAGAUACUACAUUUGCUAUUCAACAAUGGAAGAAACUGAAUCUUUAUGCUAUCCAGCAACUCCUCAGGCUCUCACAGCUAAUGAGUUUCUGAAAGUUGGAGAAAUUCAGGGCAUGGAGUACUCAAGGUGAAAGAAAUGGCCUUCCUUUUCAAAAGCCAGCCUCCAGGAACACAUGGAAAUGAGGACAUCUGAGCUCAGAGAGAAAGGAACCAUGGAGAACCUUCUGGACACAGCUAUAUGGAGCAGAAAGAUGAUUUUCUUUCAUCUAGAAGAGCUUCAUAUUGGUUGCUUCCUCCUUGGACUCCCAAGCUUCCAAGGUGUACACACUUGGGUUGAUAGUUUAGCCCAUGGUCCCUCUAGUGUACACAUCUCACCUGCUCCCAAGAAUGUGUCUUUCCAGCUGCUAGACUGUAGGUUUCUUGAAAAAUAAAACAGUCAGAGUUUGUGCUAAGUUCUUCACAUAUCAUCCCAUUCUGUUCUCACAAUAAUCCCUCAAGAGGGGUAUUAGGAUCAUCCCCAUUUUUUUGUUUUUGUUUUGAAAUAAGUGAGGGCAUGGAGGUUAUGAUAACUUGCCUGAAGUCAUAGCGGGUUAGUGGUGGCCCUGGGCAAGCAAGAAGCUGGGAGUCAAGGGCCCACACCCUUCAUUACCCUCUAAGCCACUUUUCUACUAUGUGUGGUAUGGACGAUCGUGGCGAGGCAUCAAUGUACAUGUUGACUUGAGUUUCAGACACCUGCUUGCCAUUUUCUUAGUGCAACCUUGAAGGCAGUGAGAGAAUUGCUGGGGUGGGGGAGGGGACUAUCUACUCUCCUGCUACUCUCGCUCCUGGUUCUGGAUCAAAGUUAACAAUAACAUGGGGGUUAAUACAUUUGGUUUGAAACUUUGGUAUCUUACAUAUUUCUUUACCUUUGGGCCGGGGCCCUUCACCUAAUUCAUGAGACAUUUCUGACACCACUGUGCCUAUGGGGAGGCUCAGAAUGCGACCUGUGAUUACAUUUAUCUAAUUAACCAAAAACUCUCCCAAAUGACACUUCUCCAAGUCUAAAGAGUGGUGUUAAUGAAGUGGAAACCAUCAAAAACACUUCAGCUUAAUCCUAGGGAAACAGUUGAUGAGGCGCCACAGAGACCCAGGAUUAUUGCCCUCAUUAAAAGGUAAUUUAAAGCUGGCAUGGGUUUUGUGUUAGCAUCUUGAGUGUCUGUAAGCUGGGCCACCUGUUACUCUCAUGUGAUAGGACGAGGAGUGGGUGGGGGGCCCUGGCACUUACCCUCGCGUCAGAACAGCUCCCUUCUCUGAGGCUGUGGCCGCCGCCUCGAGCACGCUGGGGGCUUUCACUGAGAUCCGGGCCACCGGAGGAAUCUGCGUGGUGCAGAAGGGGAAGGGAAGAUGAGGAUGUGGCCAUGAUCCCAACUCUGGCAUUGACCGGAGCCAGUUGAAAGGGGGAUGUCUCCGUCCAUCCACCACCCAGGGCAAUAGUCCUUAAGCUUUGACUGGCAUCGAGACUCCCCUGCGGGGCUGGUCACCACCGUGCGUGGCCUACCCCAGUUUCUGAUCCAAUAGGUCUGACAUGGGCUUGAAAAUCUGCGUUUCUAACAAGUUCCUGGGUGCUGCCAGUCCCAGGACCCCACAUUGAGAACCACUGACCCAGAGAACCUGAGAGAGAGAGGGCGCACAACUCAAUUUUACCUGAAAACUCUGUCCCCUGCCCCUACCCCCAUUACCUGUGUCUACUUUGUUGUUAAAUCCUGCAGAUUCAUGCUUUGAAAGACUGCCUCGGGUAGUGCCAUCCUCCCCCAUCUCCUCUGCCACACACAGCCUUCCGAUCCAGUCACCUGGGAACUCCUUGCUUUGGACCAGCCCCACCACUGAGCGCAGCCCCACUGGAUUUGCAGUGCCUGCCCACGGCAGGUCAGACUGAGGCCAACUCUGGAAGCACAGGCUCCUCAGAACCCAGCUCUCCCUCAUCUAUGCAGCUCUACCUCUGUUAAUCCCCCGCGCAGCGCUGCAUCUUCCUUCGGCUUUUCCUUCAUCCUCUGGACAGAGCCUCGUUUCUGCCUGCCCUUCAGGGCCACUUCUUCCCGGAGGCCUUUCCUCAGGCUGGUGGCCCGAGUUGAUUUCUCUCGGUCCUCAUGCCCCAUGCCCCCACAGUACUGAGAACCUAUGUGACAUAUUUCAGCAAUUCCCCAGUUCUUUCUAUGGUUCGCUUCUUGUUUCAUAGGCUCCCAGUUCUCAGACAAGUGCUAUGAUGUGUGUCAGGGUCUGGCACUUAAUCCCUUUGGCAGUGCUCUGCAGCCUUCCUAGAGAUGGUGAGUGCUCAAGAAGCAUGACGACCUAACAAGGGUUAAAUUGGCUUAGUCAACAGACAUAUGCUAUGCUUUGUUCCUUCACCCCAACCCCACUGAAGGCUUAGGGUCACCACAUUCUUGAAAUUGCUGGGAAAUUCCAGGUUGAGGACAUGAUGAUUAACUGUCCCCUUCUCUCCCUAGCUGGCCAAAUGUUGUGGGCAGAGUUACUGUGCCACCUUGUGGCCUCUCGGGAGCUCUCCCUCCCCAUCGUGCCAACAGCCCAGCCCCGGGAACAUACACCGCCUCUCCUUCUCCACUGUCCUCAGUCCUCCUCCAGUACGUUGCAUCACUGAGUCAGAAUUAGCUGUACGAGCUCUGACUCAUUCUUCCAUCCUGGGAUAAGGGGCCUCUGAUCAACUGCAGGACCCCUGCUUCACUGUCUCAGGCUCAGGGGAAAGAGUCAGUCCUGCUGCCUUUUUUUUUGUCACUGUGUCCCCAUGACCAUCCUGUCCCAUCGCAAUUCCUUCUAGUCUCCCAGAAGCAGUUCUCUGCCAAGGCUACUAUGUGAGCCCAGCCCAGAGACUUGGAGCAGGUAAUCCAAGGAUGUGAGUCACCCUCCUCCCCUUAACUUUGGUCUUCUUCUGACCACAGCUAAGGGCAGCUCUUUGUGCUGUCACAGCCUGGAAAUCUGUGGCAAUGGCCCAGCCAUCCUCAGUUUCUCUUGAGGACUAGGUUGGGGCAGAGGGCUCCUGAUAAAACAGAUUGGCCCAUCUCUUCUCUUUCUGUGGUUCUCCUAGUACAGGGAUGACCUAAAUGAGGUAUUUGGAUUAGAUUUUCUGCUCAGAGAGGGAGCAAAGGGCUCACUGUCCAGUUUGUUUCAGAAUGAUGAGGGGGCUGGCCCACACAAUCUCCAGGGUCUUUUCUAGUCCUCACCUGGCACGAUCCACCCAUCUGGUGAGCUGCUGCUCACGGAGACCAGGGUGCCUGAGCUGACCUCACCUCUAGCCACGAUUCCACCCCUACUGUGCAAACCUAAAGGGUACCCACAUUCAUGCCCAGAAGAAGAUGCAGGAGAUUUUUUUCCCCUAGAGGGACCCUGAGCUAGAUCUGGAUGUGCACCCCCUGAUCUGCCUUCAAAGAAGGACAAGCUGCCACCAUGGGGGUGGCUCAUGUACCAUAAUGGAGCGAGGAGGAAACAAAGGCUUGGCCAUUUGGGCCCAACUCGGGACAAGGGGGAGGGGUAGCAAUGGCCCCAGAACUUCCGCCAGGAGGUAUCCCGUGUGCAUGGCAGUUCAGCCUCCUAGCGAUCUGAACUCCUUCCUCCUGUCACAGGUACUGAUCCCUAAUACAAAUCUCAUACCCCCUACCCUGCAUCUCAGAGUCUGCCUUCAGAGACCCCGACUGGGAACAGACGUCCUCCAGAGGUGUCCUGGGCACAGAUGCCUGGUGUUUCAUGUUUUCACAACAUUUAAGACCCUUGACAGGCAACUCUUGACCUCUUAGCUGCCCCUGGGAAUUAGUCAGGCGUGUCCACCUGGCAUGGGCCUACCACAGAAACCACUUCUUUCUCCCUGUGUUUGAGAUGUCCCCUAGGCAACACCUUUUUCUGUUUGCCUGAGAGCUGAAUUUCUGGCAAGAAAGAGAACACCAUCCAGUGGUGACUGACGCUGGGAGCCGAAAACCUGCAGGUAGGCUUUUCUAGUAAUCUUCAUGGCUGCAACAAAGGACAGGGUGGGGAGUUUAAAGCACAACAUGGAGAACUAACCAGGCUUAUUUUACUUACCAAAGACUUUCCAUAUGCUCGAUUCCCACACAGAUUGGAAGAUUUGGGUUCCGAACUCCCCACUGCAAGGUUGAACAGAGGAGGCAUUACUCAGUGGUACUCUGUGUUCCACUUCCCCCCGCUUCUGCGUCAAUGAUCUCAUUAGCUAAUCAGUCACAAGCUGGGAAUUUCUAAAGCCCUUUGUGCCAAGCAGCAAGAUCGGGCAGGAGGGUCUGGCAACGGGACAACUGUCGAGUGGGUCACCUGCAUCCCUGGCACCCUUCCGGGUGUGGGAUGGGUAGUGAUGGUAGAACUAAUGUCUAAGAAGAUCAUAUGUGUGGAAGCAUUUAGUAUGUCUGCGGGAAGUAAGUGCUCAGAGAAUGUGCCCUUAGCUUGUCCUUCCUUCCUAAGGUGCCACAUCACAAGAGGUUAUCAGGAGUUCAGUCUUUGCUGCUGAGAUCGAUUUAGCUUGCUAAAUCUGUGCAGUCCUCUCUGGAAAUGAGCAGAGAAGCCUGUCUGCGGUGGGAGGCCCAGCUUCAUGAUGUGCGAGUGUUGGAGAUGAUCAGAGUCCUGAGACAUUGGCUACACAGGACUUAUGUGAGAACCUUCUUGCUAUGCCUUUAUUCCUGAAGCCCGACCUACUUCUGAGUAAUCUCUACCCUGCAGUCUUUAGCUUCUGAGAAACCAGGUGUUGAGCUGAGGGAGCUGGCAAUAGGUAGAGGAAAACUGGCUUUUGAUCUAGUCCUCUCCUUGGGCAGACAUUCCAGAACAAGCCCCAUCCUAUCACACUAUAAAAAUAGAGAUAAAACACUCCCCAACUCAAGGAAGAAAAC